rnacentral:lncRNA from 1 species
CUAUCUAGAUCUACUCUAGUUUAGAGAAGAGAGGAGAGCUCUCAUCUCUAAACCCUAGCUUUUGCUCUGUCUAUGAAUAAUGAAUAAUGAUCAAGGGGUGCCUCCUCCAGGGGCCAGGGGGUCUGGUUUUAUAGUCCCCUCAAGUGAACCUGGGCCGUCGGAUCAAACCGACAUUGAUUGAACGGUUAUUCUUGAUCCUUUAGGUCGGUGGAGCAUAAUCCGCGAGAUUGAGCGUGAUUGGCUGAAAAAGGUGGGUGGGCGCCCUGUCCAUGACUCCGUUCGGUCUCCGCUUCCUUCCCGUGGCUUCUGGAGUCUUCUAGAUAUAAGAUAAUUGCGCGGCACGUUGAUAUCUCUAUGUAAUCCCGACGUGUGGGCCUUUCUUCCUUAUUUCCUGAUAACCCCCUGCAGAAAUAGACAAACACCAAAACUCGUGGAAUUCUGUCAGAUAAAACCCUAAGUCUUGAUGUUGAUUUCAUUUGGAUCCUUUUCUUUGUUUAUUUGAUAGUUAAAUUUGAUACUUAAGGACCGUCAACAAACUCCCCCAAGCUUACCUCUUGCUCGUCCCUGAGCAAGGAUAGACUCAGCUAUGGAUCAUAAGUUGUUGCAAUAUCUUUAAAAAUUGACGGUACACAUGAUUUUAAAUGAGGUCUCAUCUCUGAGUUAGAGUAAACUGUCAAGACUUAAAACUUACUUACUUUACCUUUCACCAUGGGACUUGUAACCGUCACUUCUGUCUUGAGUGGUUAAAAGAUAGAAUAGUCCCGUCAAGUGCCAUGUCUCUUAUUCUUCAUCAGCUAUAGCUCUGGAGUUUUUGCAGAUUUUCAAAUAAAACUCAGAGAUUCCUUUGUAUGACUCUCUCAUAUCUCUCUUUUGUGGUAUUUCUGGAUCCUUACCAAGGCAGUGAUGGUAUAUGCCUUCUCUCAAAAUAUGUGGUAUUUGUGGUAUAAGGGAUAGUGACAUUGUCUUCUCUCUCACCCUACUCUAAUAAGGCUUUAAUAUCUGGAGCUCAUAGGUGGGAGAUAAAAUAUACAUACUUACAAGAUAUUUAUUGUAUAGUCAAACCAUGGAUCCAAAGAAACAAAUCAAUAAGCCAAAUAAAGAUGUGCAUGUGUGGCGAAUGAAUAGUGUAUGGUGAUGAUGGUGAUAACAAUGGUGAAAGUCUAAUUCUACUUUUGCUCUUUUGAGGGGAUACAUACCUUUCUUGCUUUUUGAAACUUUAUGAGGAGAAUGAGAUGCUCUACUUUUUAUUUUCUCUCAGAUGGGUAUCCUGUACCCCUAAUUCUACUGUCGGACACUUGUCCAUUUUUACCUCUCGUCUCACUCUUUUUCUUUUCUUUCGAGGUUCCUAGCACUUGCCCCUUUUUAUUUCCUUGUUUAUUAUUAUUUUUUUUCCUUUUCUUCUCUUUUCUUUUUUUUCAGAGCACUCAUCUCCUGAAAUAAUGUAGCAAGUGGUAGUAACCAAAAUAACUGGAGCAUUUAUUUCACAGGGAAUAACAGGGAUAGGAAAAUGUUUUUGGCUAUUCUCUCCUGGAUUAGAAGUAGAAUGAUUUUGGGUGAAACUGGAGAUGGAAAUGGAUGCAUAUAUGUGGAUGGUACUUCCGGAGUAGAAGUAGCAUAUAUGAGUGAACGUGCAAGUGAAUCUUAAUUUAACCACAUGACAAGCUCCUAAGGGUCUACACAGCUUGACCACACUCAAUGCUCAUAAGCAGUAAAUAAUAAAUGUGUGGCUCAAAGUCUAGCAAGCAUGUAUAUAUGGUUGUGGUAGGAAUUUAAACUCUCAUCAUACAGGAACUCAUCAUGCAACAUUUUAAAGAUUUUUCAAAGAUAAAAUUCUCCAGAAUUCUAGCAUUUCUAGGAACAGAUAAACAGCAGCUCAACCUUCCCAUAUCUUAUCCGUUAACAACUUAGAUUUUAGAUCAAGUUUUCAUCCCACAAGUUUAGAUCUAGAGCAAGCUUUAAAUUAUAACAGUUAUGUCUAAACUUGAGAGAGAACUUUAAAUUUGCAAAUUAGGUAGAGCAACUAUUCAUCAUAUCCAUGCUAGAGUUUUAUUAUUAAGAUUCAUAGCAAACUUUAUUUAUUUAUUUAUUUAGCAAACUAAGAAAAGAUAUAUAUAUAUAUAUAUAAGCAUAAAAUCUUUAUUUGGUUUUUCAUAGUUUAUGUAUUUUAAUAUUCUAAUAUAAUAUAAGUAUAAAGAUAGGUAGAAAUACUUAGCGAGAUAAAUAGGGGUGCUCUCCCCCAAGCUGAAUUUUGACGUAAUUUCUCUUGAUGUAGCUAGCAGGUGGCAGAGGUGUAUUUGAAAGUCAGCAGUAUUCUGACAGCGAUUAGAAUGUCCUCCGUCUGCUAGUCUUCUUGAUUCUUAAAUUCUGUGGAGCUCAAAUAGACAACAAAGCUUCUGGAACUAAUUAAGUGUUAGCAUAAAUAUCUAGCCUUCAUCACGUUGAGCUUCCUCAAUAAAUAUUACUCCCUGUUUUUAUAUUUUUAUUUUAUAAAGUAGAAAAGAAAAUAUUUAUUUUAUUUUUAUGCCACCACAGUGAAGGUACUUAUGGGUUUUAUGCCACUCGUAUACUCACAUGGGGCUUAGUAUUUUUUAACAUUUUUAUUUUCUUUUCAAGAUAGCAUGAUUAACUAAAAAUCUAUUUAAGGAAAGUAAAUAAUUAAAGGGAAAAGGGAAUGCAGAAAGGAUAAAUAUGGAUAACUACCAAUCUUACCUUUCGGCGAGGGUUCAAUGUUUUAAGUCUUCUUGACAAGACAUCUCAACGUGUUCAUUCUUCAGGUGCGUCAUUUGAUUCAGGUGCGGACCUUGACGUCUGCACCUUUUAAUACGGUGUCACCCAUGUUCUUCGUUUGCCCAGCAGUUCGAAGUACGGUGUUAGCAGUAUCUUGCUCAGUGUGUUUGUGCUCGUAGUGUACCUGCUCAUAGAGACAAGGCGGAGAUCAAGUGCAUGGGCCCUGUUGGUGGAAAACACCAACAGAACCAAAAGUGUAUUUGUUCUUCUCUAACCUUAAGCAUAGUGAGCAAGACAAAGUUGAUGGAUGAUAAGUUCAUGAGUGUAGCACUUAUAACAUUUGUCAGAUCAGAUCGCUCAACCUUAUGGAAAGAUAAUCUAUUUAUGUAUAUGUAUUUUUCUUUAUAUCUCUCAAUGAUUGAAUGUGUAACAUUUUAGCUCAUAUGAUUAGGAGUGUGGGAUCAUGGAGGUAGUACUAAGAACAAGGAUUAAAGGAUUAAACAUGUUUAAUCAGUUGGGUUGGUUAAUCUAGAGUUGUAAAUCAUACACAUUUGUCUCUUUUAUUUAUAUGAACGCCAGAACCAAGGAGAAACUUAUAAAAGUGAUAGUCUAAGUACCUCAAGAUGUUACCUUGCUUGAAGAGUGAUGGUACAGUAUCAUCUUGUGGAAGCUUUCCUUUCUUAGCGGUUGUGCAUCGUGUUUGUGGCACCCUCCAUGGAUCCUCUCUCUAUGAUGAAUGAGCUAUGUCCUUCUUGUGCAAAUUGUUAAACUUUAUGUGUCACUCUCUUCGUCUCUGAUGUGAGUUUAUCUCAGGACUUCCCAAAUCGAUAUUGAAAGUUUUUCUGCAGGGGUUAGUCCGACAAAAUAUACCAAUAUCUACUCAAGCAGUUUUUUUUAGUUCAAUAACCAAACUAGACUCCAUGUCUAAUCAGAUUAAGGAAGGAUAUUUAACCUAAGCACCAUGCUUAAUUUAAAUGCCAAUGGAAGUAUGGCGAGUACUUCCAAACCAACACUUGCUAGUAAAUAGACAAAGGUAGCAUGAUAGCAUUUAUAGAGAUCUACUCAAGUGGAGAUGAAGUAGUGUAAUUAGUAUUUAACAAAUUGAGCAUGUCUCAAAGGUAGGGACAACCAGCAUAGCAACAUGGCAAAGGAUGUUUUUAUGUAAAGUACUCCCCCAAGCUUGAAUUUUGCAAAAUUCAAGUUUGGAUGAAUUUAAUUCAAUGUCGUAUGAUGAUUGGUUGGACAUACCUUGUGCUUGUCAUUCAUCCGAUCUUCUUGCGCCAAUCCUAGAAAGUUAAGUGACAAGAAUACCCGAAGGAAUAUUUUUUUACAAUUAUCCUUAUAUGCUCAAUACACAAGGUAAUGUUGCAAAUAAUUAAAAGCUCAUGUUACGAUCUGAUCAAUGCUUAUUUUAAGACACUAAGCUUGUCCUUGGGAAACCAUCAGUUUAUGUUGGCGAAGUGGUUUCCCCUCCGACGCCAACCUAUAUCUAGAUCAACUCAACGAGAUCUGCAAUAUUUAUUAUAGACAUAUGCAUCGACAACCGCCCUUUUAAAGUUUUUAUAAAUAGAAAGAAAGAGGGGGUUGGAGAUCUCAAGUGUGGUGAUGUCAGAGAGACCAAUAGAUUGGGAAGAUGUUGCAUAUGAGCAUGGAGUAAACAAAGUGGCUAUGAAAUAAAUUCCAUGCUCAUUAAUGUUAUCUUCAUCUCCAAUCUGAAUGUUCAAAGUUUCUCUUGGAUUGGUCUCACUUAUGUCCUCUUCUAUAGUUGGAUGAAUCUCAUCUUCAAAGGGAGUCAAGAACUCACCAUUUGAAAUUGAGCCAAAGUCAGAAUCCAUUAAGGCUUCUUCCUUAUCCAUCCAUUCUACACAUUCUAGCCAUUUAGAACUUGUGAUCAAAAUAGGGGAGGUGUUAGAAUUUUCUAUAUGGCUUAGCUCUCCUUCUAUGGCAUUACUUGACAUGCCAUCCUUAUGGUCUUCAUGACUCCUAUGGUUUGGUCGUCUUGGUGAAUUGCUAGGAUCAUCAUGAGACUGAAAAGAAGAGGGAUAAGAGGGAUCUCUAAGGUCAAGGAUGGAUUUAGAACUUGUGAACAUGGAAGGGGAGUAGAUAGAAUUGUCUAUAUGGCUUAGCUCUCCUUCACUUGAUAUGUCAUCCUCGACUUCUUCAUGAUAGGAACCAGGACAUUCUCUAAGAGAAACAUUACUGCAAUGAUUUGAAUUAUCCCUGCUUGAAGGUUUCUUAUAGAACCAGAAGUCUAAACCAUUAGCAUCUAAAAGAUUUAAGGUCGGAAUUCCUUCCUCCCUUGGAGAAUUUUGGGGUAUUGAUGGUUUAGGAUCGAUAGCUAAAGUUUGGGAUUGAAGUGGUUGUGAUCUGGCUAUCGAAACUUCUUCCUCUUGUCUAGGAACUGGUUCUUUCUCUUUCUCAGGGAUAUAAAAGCUAGGAGACUUUCCGCUCAUUAAAUCAAUCAAAUUCCAAGCUUCACUAGCGGAUAGGUGGUGGAAAGAUCCUCCAGAGGCCGCAUGAAGGGUUUGCUUAUUUUUCCUACUAAGGCCCUCAAAAAAGUGAAUUAGAAGAACUUCUUCUGGAAUAGAAAGUUUUGGGCCAGUGAGAGUAAGGUUAAUAAAGCGGUCCCAUGAUUUGCCAAGAGAUUCUUCUUCCAGUUGUCUAAAAGAAAGAAUCUCACGCCGAAGUUCCACCACUUUGGAGAUUGGAAAAUAUUUAGAAAGAAAACUACUAUAUAACUCCUUCCAAUCUCCAAGAACACUCCCUACUUUGAGUUUAUACCAAUGUCUAGCUUUUCCUGUUAAAGAGAACGGAAAGAGCUUCCAUUUAAGGGUCUCAUCAGACAUGCCUUCUAUGCGAAGGAGGUCACAGACUCGAUAAAACUCUCUUAGGUGUGUGUAUGGGUUUUCCUCACCUUCUCCUGAGAAAGGUUGUUUUUGAAUAAAUUCUAUGUAUUCGGGGUCUAUCUCAAAACUAGAUGCUAUGAUAGGCUUUGAAGAUUUUGGUGGUUCGAGAUGUGUGCCCAUAGGUCUAUGAAAUUCAUAGAUAGACAUGUUUGAAUUCAUAAUAGACCAGAGAUCAAGGAUUAGAUAAGAAGAAAGAAUAGCAGAGAUGAGGCAAAGGAUAAAAGGAAAAUAUUUUUUUUGUUAUAUAUUUUUUUUUAUAAAAUGAUUAAACUAGUUCGUAGUCAACUCAGCAACCGUUUCCCCGGCAACGGCGCCAAAAAUGCUUGUUGACACUUGCUAACACCACUUGAAUACUAGGUUGUCAUCCCCAGCAUGGCACUAGAGUGUACUAUGGUAUUUAUACGCACACAGAUAAUCCGCAAGCGCACGGAUACCGUUGAAGCUUUUACCCGGUUAAAGGUUUUAUCAUAUCCGCAGGGAAACAGGAGAACCAACUACGCUCUAACUUAACCAAGAUAGAUAGAUAGGUGUAAAUAGGAAAGAUGAUAGAAUUGAAUAAGAACAAUAUUAAAGGUAAGAUAACAGUGAGUGAUAAUAUAGGAAUAGAGAAUAGAGUAAUUCUAGUAUAUGGGCGAUGGUAGCAGAAUAGAGAGGAUAACCAUGGUUUCUCUUCUUCAAAGGGGUAUGUCUAUGUCUGGGACGAACCCCGUGAUAAGAGUACACCACAAAGGAUGCUUAUCCAUAGGCCGAUAAACCCUACCCGUCCUGCUAACGAGAGGUCGACUACAGGGGACCAACGUAACUGUCACCUACGCGGCCUACCACACGAUCCAGCUAGUCAGGGGAUAUCCACAAGUAAUCUAGGUCUAAGCACCACGCUUACACCUAUACUACAACUCUAACCUAUAGGGUCCUAUAGAUUAGAAGUACUCAAAAGAGUUGUGAACCAGAACAUACAUGAUUAGGAAUUGCAUAAUGAAUUAGAAGUAGAUUACCAGAGUCAUCCCAUGAGCAAGCUUGAUUAGAGCUUGAUCAUGGCGAAGUACAACCGGAGGAAGAACCGACAGGCUGGCCUCUCCUCUAAUCCUCCUUCGCUCUCCAUCUCGCUACUAUCUAGAUCUACUCUAGUUUAGAGAAGAGAGGAGAGCUCUCAUCUCUAAACCCUAGCUUUUGCUCUAUCUAUGAAUAAUGAAUAAUGAUCAAGGGGUGCCUCCUCCAGGGGCCAGGGGGUCUGGUUUUAUAGUCCCCUCAAGUGAACCUGGGCCGUCGGAUCAAACCGACAUUGAUUGAACGGUUAUUCUUGAUCCUUUAGAUCGGUGGAGCAUAAUCCGCGAGAUUGAGCGUGAUUGGCUGAAAAAGGUGGGCGGGCGCCCUAAGGACUUGGGCGGGCGCCCUAUCCCUGACUCCGUUCGGUCUCCGCUUCCUUCCCGUGGCUUCUGGAGUCUUCUAGAUGUAAGAUAAUUGCGCGGCACGUUGAUAUCUCUAUGUAAUCCCGACGUGUGGGCCUUUCUUCCUUAUUUCCUGAUAACCCCCUGCAGAAAUAGACAAACACCAAAACUCGUGGAAUUCUGUCAGAUAAAACCCUAAGUCUUGAUGUUGAUUUCAUUUGGAUCCUUUUCUUUGUUUAUUUGAUAGUUAAAUUUGAUACUUAAGGACCGUCAACACAGGCCACAAGAGUGAACGACUAUGUCAACAGGAAGCUUGGGGGAGGCACCCGCACGUGUAUCUAGAUAAGUAUUACUUUUCUUUCAUGGUUUUAUUUACUAGUAUUCGGAAAUAAAUAAAAAAAUGCAUAACCAUGAAACCAAACAAAGUUUUUCUUUUGAGUAAUAUACAAUAGUUUUGUAUAACCCUAAGUUUUAAAUAAAAUAAAAAGAAAGUUUGAUCCAAGUCUAGGUAAUUGACGAACAUGAUAUGAGAAGGUCUGAGCUACUAUUUAACUUGUUCCAAGUUUCGCUAGAGUUCUGGAGAUUUUAUCUUUUGAAAAUCUAAAAAUUCAAAAAAAAUGAUGAGAUCCUGUUUGACAUAAUACCUAGUCUUAUAAGAUAUAAAUAUUAAAACUGUGGGCACUUGCUUUGUUCAAGCCAUUGUUAAUUCUUGUAGUUUUGGUUGAGAGAAUUAUGAUGCUCCAAAGAUCAAGAUCUUUUUGUUUUAAAAAUAUAAAAGAUUCACUCUUUCGAAGUAUUAUUGCAUUAGAGGCAUGGGACUAUGCAAAAAUUUGAUUCAAAAAAAAAGAAGAGUGAGACAAGAGGUAAAAAUAGACAAGUGUCCGAAGUAGAAUUAGGGGUACAAAGAUACCCACCUGAGUGGAAAAAAUGGACACGUGUCCGAUAGUAGAAUUAGGGGUACUUGGUGCCCACUUGAAAAAAAGAGAGAGACUGAAAAAAAAGAAAGAAAAAAAUGAUAGCCCAUGGUCCCUCUAAUAAGCAAUAUACCAGUAAGAGAUGACAAACUUUUCAAAAAGGUCAAAGGUCUUAAUCUAGGAGUAUGACAUUCCUCUCCCUUGCUCUAAGCAUUGACAUAGCAAAAUGCAAAGUAAGUAUGCUAAAACUUUUAAAGCUCUACUUAUAUAUCUUUCGAGAAGAAGGCAAAUGCCUCAGUUUUAUUUUGGAAGCUUACAAAAAAAACUCCAGAACAAAGGUAAGACAGAAGAACUUGAGACAUAGUGCUUGACUUGAUCGUUCUGUUUUUCAAUCACUUAAGACCUUAGUGAUAACUUAAAAAAACCUUGUAGUAAGAGGCAUAAAAGUAACCCCUGUUUUCUUGCUGAUUUUAGCUUUGCUCAGGGAUGAGCAAAGGUUAAGCUUGGGGGAGCUUGUUGACGGUUGUUGACGGUUCUUAAGUAUCAAAGUUAAUUAUUAAAUAAACAAGGGAAAGGACCAAUAUACAAACAACACCUAGAAUUAGGGUUUGAUCUGACAGAAUUCCAUGAGUUUUGUUGUUUAUCUGUUUCUGCAGGGGGUUAUCAAGAAAUAAGGAAGAAAGGCCCACAUGUCGGGAUUACAUAGAGAUAUUAACGCACCGUGCAAUUUUCUACCAUCUAGAAGACUCCAGAAGCCACGGCAACGAACGGGAAGGCGAUCGGGCCCAGGGGCAGGGCGCCCACCCUCCCCCCCUAGGGCGUCCGCCCUGGUGUCUCCACCAAUCAGAGCCAACUUCACGGAUCAUGCUCCACCGACCUAAAGGAUCAAGGAUAACCGUUCAAUCAAUGUUGGUUUGAUCCGACGGCCCACGUUCACCUGAGGGGACUAUAUAAGCAGACCUCCUAGCCCUUGGAGGAGAACAAGUUCAUCAUAGAGUUGAGAGGUUCCCUCGAAGGAUAACCUUUCCUCUAAAUAGACUUAGGGCUUAGCAUCCAAUGUGAGAGUAGAAUUAGUUCUUCUAAGUUCUACUAGAUUGAGAAAGAGG